AUACUUACCUGGCAGGGGAGAUACCAUGAUCAUGAAGGUGGUUCACCCAGAGUGACGCUCAGCCAUGCACGCCGGUUGUGCUGACCCGUGCGAAUUCCCCAAAUGUGGGAAUCUCCCGACUGCAUAAUUUGUGGUAGUGGAGGACUGCGUCCAUGCUCUCCCAGA